CCUGACUGCUAUCGGAUUGAUACUAAGCCAUGCGAGUCUUUGUAGUAAUACAAGGCAGACGGCUCAGUAACGCGUAGUCAACCUACCCUAUGGACGGGAAUAAUCUCGGGAAACUGAGCAUAAUACCCGGCGUACCACCAUUCCUGGAAUGGUUGGUGGUUAAAAUGAUUCGUCGCCGUAGGAUGGGACUGCGACCUAUCAGCUUGUUGGUGAGGUAAAGGCCCACCAAGGCGAUUACAGGUACGGGCUCUGAGAGGAGAAGCCCGGAGAUGGGUACUGAGACACGGACCCAGGCCCUAUGGGGCGCAGCAGGCGAGAAAACUUUGCAAUGUGCGAAAGCACGACAAGGUUAAUCCGAGUGAUUUCUGCUAAAGGAAUCUUUUGCCAGUUCUAAAAAUACUAGUGAAUAAGGGGUGGGCAAGUUCUGGUGUCAGCCGCCGCGGUAAAACCAGCACCUCAAGUGGUCAGGAGGAUUAUUGGGCCUAAAGCAUCCGUAGCCUGCUCUGUAAGUCUUCGGUUAAAUCUAUAUGCUCAACGUAUAGGCUGCCGAAAAUACUGCAGUGCUAGGAAGUGGGAGAGGUAGACGGUACUUGAUAGGAAGGGGUAAAAUCCUUUGAUCUAUCGAUGACCACCUGUGGCGAAGGCGGUCUACCAGAACACGUUCGACGGUGAGGGAUGAAAGCUGGGGGAGCAAACCGGAUUAGAUACCCGGGUAGUCCCAGCUGUAAACGAUGCAGACUCGAUGAUGCAUUGGCAUCUAGCCAGUGCAGUGUCGCAGGGAAGCCGUUAAGUCUGCCGCCUGGGAAGUACGUACGCAAGUAUGAAACUUAAAGGAAUUGGCGGGGGAGCACCACAAGGGGUGAAGCCUGCGGUUC
rnacentral:rRNA from 1 species